GCCGAUGUAGCCGAGUUGGCCAAAGGCGUCAGACUCAAGAUCUGCUCCCUAGCGGUUCGCCGGUUCGAAUCCGGCCAUCGGCA
rnacentral:tRNA from 1 species